rnacentral:rRNA from 1 species
CAGCAGCCGCGGUAACACGUAGGUGGCAAGCGUUGUCCGGAAUUAUUGGGCGUAAAGGGCUCGCAGGCGGUUUCUUAAGCCUGAUGUGAAAGCCCCCGGCUCAACCGGGGAGGGUCAUUGGAAACUGGGAAACUUGAGUGCAGAAGAGGAGAGUGGAAUUCCACGUGUAGCGGUGAAAUGCGUAGAAAUGUGGAGGAACACCAGUGGCGAAGGCGACUCUCUGGUCUGUAACUGACGCUGAGGAGCGAAAGCGUGGGGAGCGAACAGGAUUAGAUACCCCAGUAGUCCCUGUCUCUUAUAC